rnacentral:rRNA from 1 species
UACGUAGGGGGCAAGCGUUGUCCGGAAUCAUUGGGCGUAAAGCGCGUGUAGGCGGCUUGAUAAGUCUGCUCUGAAAGCCCGGGGCUCAACCCUGGGAGGCGGGUGGAUACUGUCGAGCUCGAGUCCGGAAGAGGCGAGUGGAAUUCCUGGUGUAGCGGUGAAAUGCGCAGAUAUCAGGAGGAACACCAAUGGCGAAGGCAGCUCGCUGGGACGGUACUGACGCUGAGACGCGAAGGCGUGGGGAGCAAACAGG